GGGGACGCGUGGGUUCGACAGGGGGCUUCUCUGCGGGAUUGCAAGCCGAGGCGCCAUCACACCUCGUAAAAAGAUGGCACAAAAGUAACCGGCAACACACAACCGGCUCUAGCCGCCUAAGGGCGGUUACGUCCACCGCUUCCUUACCCUGAGGGUGGCGACUGGGCGACGCAAUUCGGGGCGCUGCCGCGAUGAUGCCGAUGAUCGCGGCCUAAGAACAUCGGCUGGCCCCGUGGACUCCGGAUCCGGUUAGGACCCACAUUGGGGCGAGAAUCAAAUACCGGAUAAGCUUGUAGUAGAUUCUAGACGGAGCGCUUUCUGGACGGGGAGUUCGACCCUCCCCCGUCUCCACCA
rnacentral:tmRNA from 1 species